rnacentral:tRNA from 4 species
GGGGCCGUCGUCUAGCUUGGUAUGAUGCUAGCCUGGGGUGCUAGUGGUCGUGAGUUCAAAUCUCACCGGCCCCACCA